rnacentral:rRNA from 1 species
UACGUAGGCAGCGAGCGUUGUUCGGAGUUACUGGGCGUAAAGGGUGUGUAGGCGGUUGUUUAAGUUUGGUGUGAAAUCUCCCGGCUCAACUGGGAGGGUGCGCCGAAUACUGAAUGACUAGAGUACGGGAGAGGAAAGUGGAAUUCCUGGUGUAGCGGUGAAAUGCGUAGAUAUCAGGAGAAACACCGGUGGUGUAGACGGCUUUCUGGACCAUUGCUGACGCUGAGACACGAAAGCGUGGGUAG